GUGUGUGUGUGUGUGUGUGAUAUGGCAGGUUUAGGGGCACAGCAGGGGAGAGCUCAACACUCAGCUGCUGCACUCCGGAAGAUCAGUUGAGGGGUCAUGGCCUUGCUCAAGAGCCCAGCAAUGGCAGCGGUGGGAUUUGACCUCAAGACCUUCCAAUCAGCAGUCCAAUAUCUUGAUCACUGCCCCCGUGUUACAGGAAAAUAGUCAAUGUUAAAGUGGUGUGAUGUGGUCUGACACAAAGCUGAGUUACUGUUACCAUGCCAAAGGU